CCAGGGCGGCGCGUGGUCUACGCCGAGUGACAGAGACGCUCAGGCUGUGUUCUCAGGAUGACCGAGUGGGAGACAGCAGCACCAGCGGUGGCAGAGACCCCAGACAUCAAGCUCUUUGGGAAGUGGAGCACCGAUGAUGUGCAGAUCAAUGACAUUUCCCUGCAGGAUUACAUUGCAGUGAAGGAGAAGUAUGCCAAGUACCUGCCUCACAGUGCAGGGCGGUAUGCCGCCAAACGCUUCCGCAAAGCUCAGUGUCCCAUUGUGGAGCGCCUCACUAACUCCAUGAUGAUGCACGGCCGCAACAACGGCAAGAAGCUCAUGACUGUGCGCAUCGUCAAGCAUGCCUUCGAGAUCAUACACCUGCUCACAGGCGAGAACCCUCUGCAGGUCCUGGUGAACGCCAUCAUCAACAGUGGUCCCCGGGAGGACUCCACACGCAUUGGGCGCGCCGGGACUGUGAGACGACAGGCUGUGGAUGUGUCCCCCCUGCGCCGUGUGAACCAGGUGAGCCUGGGGCUUAUGCACGUGGCAGGGUGGACACAGCCACGGGAGUGGGUGGGGUCUUGCCUGGGGCAGGAAGGCUCCUCUCUGUCUACAUGUUUUACCUGCAGCAUCACUUCCUCUAGGAAGCCUUCCUGGAUUCCCACCCUGCAUAGGGGCUGAUCCAGGCUCUGGGUCCUCUUCGGGAACACAUUUGGCAGAGGUCUUCUUUCUUUCCUUUGGGUGUAUAUUUUUACACUGUGUGUGUAUAUGUACUUUUUUUUUUUCUUGGACAUUUUGAGAAUCAGUUGCAGACAUUUCGAUUGUGUUUUCCCUGAACACAGCAGGUGUCUUUAAAAACAAAGAUGAUCUACCCCCGUCGUCACCCCCAGGAAGGAAUUUAUAUUCACAGCAAUAGUCGUUGUUCCAUUUAGCAUCUGUCCCCAGAAUGCCAGAAUGCCCUUUAUAGUGGCGCAUUGUCAAUUGGGUC
rnacentral:sRNA from 1 species